rnacentral:rRNA from 1 species
CCUUGUACACACCGCCCGUCACACCAUAGGGAGUUGGCUUUACCCGAAGACGGUGCGCUAACCCGCAAGGGAGGCAGCCGGCCACGGUAAGGUCAGCGACUGGGGUG